GCCACAAUGUCCUCCCGUGUCCUCUCAUACCUCUGUGAUUCACGUGGUCUCCUGGCCUCCUCUUCUCUCUUCCGUUCCCGGCUCACCCGGUGGAUCUCCACAUCGGCUUCAGCUUCCGCCGCAAUGUCCUCCCGUGUCCUCUCAUAGCUCUGUGAUUCACGUGGUCUCCUGUCCUCUUGUUCUCUCUCCCUUCCUCGGGACACACGGCGGAUCUCCACAUCGGCUUCAGCUUCAGCCACAACAUCCUCCCGUGUCUUAUCAUACCUCUGUGAUUCACGUGGUUUCCUGUCCUCUUGUCCUGUUUCCCGUUUUUGGGUCACGUGGCGGAUCUCCACAUCGGCUUCCGCUUCUGCCGCAAUGUCCUCCCGUGUUCUCUCAUACCUCACUGAUUCACGGGGUCUCCUGAGCUUCCCCUCCCUCUCCCGUUUUCGGGACACACAGGGGAUCUGCACAUCAGCUUCAGCUUCAGCCACAAUGUCCUCUUGUGUUUUCACAUACCUCACCAACUCAUCGGGUCUCCUGUCCUCUUCUCUCUCCCUUCCUCGGGACACACGGCGGAUCUCCACAUUGGCUUCAGCUUCAGCCACAAUGUCCUCCCGUGUCCUGUCAUACCUCUCUGAGUCACGGGGUCUCCUGUCCUCUUGUUCUCUCUCCCGUUCCCGGGACACACGGCGGAUCUCCACAUCAGCUUCAGCUUCAGCCACAAUAUUCUCUUGUGUUUUCACAUGUCUCACUGAUUCAUGAGGUCUCCUGUCCUCCAGUUCUCUCUCCCUUCCUCGGCUCACACGGUGGAUCUCCACAUCAGCUUCCGCUUCAGCCACAGUGUUCUCCUGUGUCCUCUGGUACCUGGCCGAUUCACGUGGUCUCUUGGCCUCCUCUUCUCUCUCCCUUUUUUGGGUCUCACGGCGGAUCUUUACAGUGGCUUCAGCUUCUGCCACACUGUCCUCUUGUGUUCUUUCUUCCAUCAUGGAUUCACAUGAUUUUCUGUCCUUCUGAGUUUUCCCUUGUUCGUAAUAAUCUUCUUCCAGCUCCCUUGUAUUAUUGUAUUUAUGGCUUAUUACUAGCGGUUCCUGGAGGUAUGACUGAUGCAGCCUUUCUGAAUCCAGGCAUUCAGGCUUGCACGGCUGGCGGCUGCUUCUUUCAAGUUCUUUUUGUUCCAACUUACGUAGGUGGUUGCGGCUUCUCUCAUCUUUGAGUAAUUCAGGAUUUCGUGGUUGAUUGUGCCUUCCUCUAUCUGCUUCUUCUGGCUCAUGUGGCCGACGGCUGCUUCUGCCAUGUGCCACUGCCUCUUGAUCUUGUGGUCUAUGGUUUCUUUGAUCAUAAGCUGGCAAUGCUGGCUCACGUGGCUGACGGUCACUCCGCCGGUCUGGCAGCAGCUGUGGUUCACAGGAAUGGCUGCAGCUCCUCACGUCUGCCAGUUGCUCUCGUUGAGGCUUCUCUUGAUUUUGUCUCUCAUCAUUCUGUGCUGCCUUCAAGCUGCCAUGCUUGUGGCUUUGUAAAUCUCCCAGUCUGUCCAGCUCAGGUGGCUGACGUCUUUGUCUGCUUCGUUGGUCGCAUGGCUCUUGGGUUUGUUCUUCAUAUUCCUGAGGGAUUAUUUCACUCGGCCUGGUGCUUUGUCUUGCAUCAGCUCUGCUUUGUGUGUUAUGUUGCUGGCGAUGACUUCCUGUCUCCUCGUGUGUCUCAAGAUCCUGUACCCUUGUGUCUGGUUGUGGCUCAGGUAUGCAGGGGGGAUGGCGAUUACGCUCAAGUGUUUGUGGUUCCUCUUCCUGGAGCUGCUGACGGCUCCCUCUGUUCUUAAUUUCAGGCUCUUGGAUUGUCUUGCUGCUGGUUAUCAGUUUUGUUCUUUGCAGAAGGCAUUGUCCCUUCUGCAGGUACCAGUAGCAGGCCUUAGCUACUCUGAAUACCAAAAGCAGGAACUCAUUAAAAUCAAUUUCCCCAUCUCCAUCCCACUCCAGAAACUGCAGAAUCUUUUCAAUUGUCUGAGGGUCAUGUGGGUUCUGUAGGAAAAACACACAUUGAGAAACAAAAAAAGGAUUUUAGCCUUGCUGCUCCUUGUCAGGAAAUGCAAACCCAGUGAUCAUGACAAUCUCUUCUACUUGCAUCUCUCUUAGGUUCACUUUUGUAGCUCAGCAUCUCCUUCAUGGCUGUGUUCUCCAUUUUCCUGGUGGUUCCCUGGCUACCACUAACCAUUCGGAGAUGCCAUAUCCCUCCACUAGAUGCAUUUCUUUUCUAUUUUUGAAAGUAAACCACCUCACAGUUAAUUCUUCAAUUUUUUCCCAUUUGUUCACAACAAAAUCUAUAGGAAGAACUUUUGCAGACAGUACAAAACCACACAUCUGCUGCUCUGUGUUGGUAAAAGCCUUUGCAUCCCACUUCCCUGUGGUCACAAGAGUCAUCCCCUCUCCAGAAAGUUUUCUGGUCCCUACACUUCAAUUUUGUCCUCAAUCUCUACCCAUCACUGCAGCACUCACCACUAUGGCAUCUGCAAAUUCCUUCUCGAUGAACUCCUUCAUCUUUCUUCGGUUGAGUUUGGAUUGGUCUCCAUCUUCCUUUGCAUGUUGGUAAAAGACAGUAAUGAUGGUGGAAACACUAUCUAAGAAGUGAGACAUCUUUCUGCAGAUUCAAGCAAGCCUGCAAGAAAAAUAGCAGACCUAAGGAUUGGAGAUCAUUUGGCUGAGCCUGGAAGAGGGGAAGGAUUGCUGGGGUCAAGCUGUGCACAUUAAUGAGAGUCUGGGUGCCCUGAGCUGUGUGUCUGCUCCUCUACCAAGGCAGGCUGUGCUUUACCAGGGCACUGGGAAGAUAUCCAAAUGCUUAGGGGUUUUGGUGGGAUGGGGAGUGUCCUCUAACUUGCCUGUUGACGUAUUGGAAUGACGUUUGGUAUGGGAUGGCAGGAUGCCUGCAUUUUUGGGUUGCAGGGAGGGGAUUGGGGAUGGUGACUCAAGAGAUACCCCAAGAACCGGUCCCUGUGGGCUCUAAUAACUCCUUCAGUUUCCAGAACCAAUGCAGCUCUUUCUACUUGGCGCUGGGAUGCACCAGCUCCUCUAGAGAGGUCAGAGGAUGUCUAAGGCAGUGCUGGAACAUCCUGAGAGAGGACCCAGCUGGGGCAGAGGUGGAUAGAGCAUUCACAGAAGGUUAAACAAGUCCUGUGACCGGCAGCAAUGCAAAUCAAUUGAUGAAUCUCAUGUUACAGCAUCAGGUUGUUGUCCAACAGAUUUUGGCCAAAGAAAAUGGUCAGAUCACCCAGGUCAGAAAUAUUUAUUGAAUUUAAUGGCAAUCUCCUGGGCAGAAAGCAGUGCUCCUGCUUGAGCUUUGUGUCUGGAAACCUCAAAUGCCACCUCUGUGCUCCCUGCAGGAUCCCUAAGCCUGUUAUUGGCUGCAUUGGUGCCAGGAUCUCAGCUUGCAACUGGGGAAGCUGCUCCCUGCCUGCUUGCAGCAUGCACACAUGCAUGAACACACGCACGCAUGCACGUCUGCAUGCGUCUUGCUAUUUCUAUGGAAAACCCAGCACUUCUUCAAUCUUUCACCCUGGGUGGGAGAUGAGUGCAGACCAAAGUGAGGCGCCAGACCUGGCUCCAUCUCUCCUUUUCGCUUGGAGGAAAACUGCCUUUUCACACAACACACAACAAAGAGCAUGCAGCUGUCCAAAUAGCGAAAAAUAACAUUUCAUUGAAGAUAAACCCGAACGACACUCGGAAAACAGUGCAGCAGAAACAUCAUUACUACCCGAGACAGAUCCUACAGAAAUCAUUCAUUUUCACCCAGCAAAGCUUGCUUUUCAGAAGGAACGACUUACCCAAGUCACCAAUGGGAUCAAAUGGGAUUCCUGUGAAGCCGUGCAGAGUGAUCGGAGGACUCGAGCGCUUUUAUAGGGUCCUUGGUGGAGGAGCAGAAAGGAGCCACCCUUUGUGGACAUUGUCCUGAUUCAUCUUUGGCCAAACCCAGCUGCACCUUCACGUCCUCAAACGGGUUAUUUAACUUAUCAUCCCAUUACCUAUCAUUUUAACCCAGAAAUAGCAGUUGCCAUGUGGCAAUUCAAGCAUCUGCUGGUUCCGCCUAAUCCGGACUGUAAAGUUAUUUUACGGGCUGAUUGUGUUUCAGAUUUAAAAGAAAAAUCUAGACUGCCUAUAAAGUAUAUAUAUACAUUAAUGGGAGGAUGUAUUUUUUUAUGAACAUGUAUCUUCGUAGGCAUGCGUUUAUGUAUGUAUAAUACGUGCACAUAAAAAUAGCACCAGAGUGAACCCGGGAGGGUGUUGUAAGCAGAUGUGGGGACCUGCCCACCGCUUUGCAGAUCCCUGGGGCUGGGGUCCAGUAGCUUGGCUUUGUGUUUUGCUCGUGGAGGAAGGACAGUAGAAGCCCCAGGAACUACAAAAGUGGUGAAAUGUACGUGGGCAGCAGAGAGAUCCCCAAAUCCUGCAGAGAUCUCAGCUUGUGUGGUGUUCUUGUAGCAUGUGCUGAAAUAUAUAUACAUAUUUUUUUCUCCUUGAUAACUGCUUAUUAAGGAGCCUUUCCCUGUAUUAUCCUUUUUUUUGUUGUUGUUGUUGUUGAAACAAACAAACAAAAAAGCCCAAGCCAACAAAACUUUUGUGAACAGUAAAAUCUGAAAAAUGGACUUUUUAACCAGAAAACACCUAUUCAACAUGCAACGACUUUCCAUUGAGAAAAAUGAUGAUACAACAUGUUUUUUUUUACGUUAACUCUCUUCUGUGAGUGGAUUUUGUUCCAACUUUUCUUGAUCUUUAAUUAAAACUAAAAGUGGAAACCUC